rnacentral:rRNA from 1 species
GAUGAACGCUGGCGGCGUGCCUAAUACAUGCAAGUCGAGCGAACGGACGAGAAGCUUGCUUCUCUGAUGUUAGCGGCGGACGGGUGAGUAACACGUGGAUAACCUACCUAUAAGACUGGGAUAACUUCGGGAAACCGUAGCUAAUACCGGAUAAUAUUUUGAACCGCAUGGUUCAAAAGUGAAAGACGGUCUUGCUGUCACUUAUAGAUGGAUCCGCGCUGCAUUAGCUAGUUGGUAAGGUAACGGCUUACCAAGGCAACGAUGCAUAGCCGACCUGAGAGGGUGAUCGGCCACACUGGAACGUAGACACGGUCCAGACUCCUACGGGAGGCAGCAGUAGGGAAUCUUCCGCAAUGGGCGAAAGCCUGACGGAGCAACGCCGCGUGAGUGAUGAAGGUCUUCGGAUCGUAAAACUCUGUUAUUAGGGAAGAACAUAUGUGUAAGUAACUGUGCACAUCUUGACGGUACCUAAUCAGAAAGCCACGGCUAACUACGUG